rnacentral:rRNA from 1 species
GACAGAGGGGGCAGCGUUGCUCGGAAUCACUGGGCGUAAAGGGCGCGUAGGCGGGAUGGCAAGUCAGUCGUGAAAUCUCUCGGCUCAACCGAGAAACGUCGGCUGAUACUGCCGUUCUUGAGGGAUGCAGAGGAGACUGGAAUUCCCGGUGUAGCGGUGAAAUGUGUAGAGAUCGGGAGGAACACCUGUGGCGAAGGCGGCCCCCUGGGCCGGCCCUGACACUGAGACGCGAAGGCGUGGGGAGCGAACGGG